rnacentral:miRNA from 1 species
CGCCCACCUCAGCCUCCCAAAGUGCUGGGAUUACAGGCGUGAGCCACUGCGCCCGGCCAAGCCUGGUCAUUUU